rnacentral:rRNA from 1 species
UACGUAGGGCGCAAGCGUUUAUCCGGAAUUAUUGGGCGUAAAGAGCUCGUAGGCGGUUUGUCGCGUCUGCCGUGAAAGUCCGGGGCUCAACUCCGGAUCUGCGGUGGGUACGGGCAGACUAGAGUGAUGUAGGGGAGACUGGAAUUCCUGGUGUAGCGGUGAAAUGCGCAGAUAUCAGGAGGAACACCGAUGGCGAAGGCAGCUCUCUGGGCCUUACCUGACACUGAGGAGCGAAAGCGUGGGGAGCGAACAGG